ensembl:lncRNA
AGCUGGAUUUACGGUGAUUUUAUUGUUUUCUGGUUCAUUGGGUAACUUGGCAACCUGGAAUCAGGUGUGCAAAGAACUGAAGGAGACCCAUUCAAGAAUCAACUCUCCCAGGGGCUGCAUGGGGCAGCGGGGAGCGGGGAAUGUGAGGCUCAGCACAGCCUGAGGCCCAAGGACAGAUGCCUAGCAUUCCUCCCACUGCCCAAAGACGCCCUCUGUCCCCAACCCAGGCUACUCCAGCUCCCUCUCACAUCAGGCAAGUGACGAGCUGCAGACUCUGGCCACCCAACACCCAGCCACGGAGCCCAGGGCUCUCCUCCUCCCCUACUCCGCCUCCUCGCUGCCACACGGUUAUUGACAAGAAUAAGCGCUCCUCGGUAACUUGCAAUGGAAAUGAAAACUGCUCAGGGGGAAGGAAUUGGGAACGUUUUGUCCUUCAGAGUCGCAAAAGAUUUAAAUCAUUCUCCCUAUCGGAGGUCUCGUUUACCCUGAGUGGAAACAACAGCAAAAUAAAAACCUGUUGAAUGGAUUGUGCAAUAAAGGGAAAUGAAUGCUGCAGAGGCAAACUGGUAGGGCCAAAGAGGAAGACACGAAGCCGCCAUGAGGAAGCCUGUGAGCGUGGGGUGCUGGACUCAGGGUGAUGCUGGAGGCGGCGGCCAGGGGCCACUCUCCUGCCGGCUCCCUGAGAGUCCCUGUGCCUGUGACCAUGGCUCUCCAUGCCAGCGGUCACAGCUCCCAGACACUCUGCCCACCCCACAAAACUCUGGGCUCAGCUAUGCUGCUGAAACCUGGCCAGAAACAACUGCCCCUGAUGUGAAGCAAGGGCUGGCCAGAGUCAUCUGCAUGGCGGGCCUGUGAUCUCAGCAGACACCCCCAGUAUUUCACCUGACUCUCUGUUCCUUCUUCAGAACUCUAUCUGGAAGUUAUUUCCUCAGAGAUGUUUCCUCUAAUCCCAUAGCUUCAUCCUUGCACUCACAAAUAUUUACUGAAUGAAUAAUAUAUUGAGCAGCCCCAAAGGUUAGGUGCCCUAUGGGGCUUUCCCAGGUGGUGCUAGUGGUAAAGAACCUGCCUGCCAAUGUAGGAGACGUAAGAGACACGGGUUCAAUCCCUGAGUCAGGAAGAUCCCCUGGAGGAGGGCAUGGCAACUCAUUCCAGUAUUAUUGCCUGGAGAAUCCCACAGACAGAGGAGCCUGGCGGGUUAUGGUCCAUAGGGUUGCAAAGAGUCAGACAUCACUGAAGCGACUUCGUAGCAGCAGCAGCAAGGGCGUGUGACCUCCCACAGCAAACCUCUUCUCCUUUUUAACAAUAAUGAUGGUAAUUAACUACUUAUAUAAUUACUUCAUGGGGUCCAUGAAAUAAUUCCCACCCCCAACUCUCCAGCCCUUCCAGAAUGUAGAGCUAGAGGAGAACAGGAGCCAAAUCUGUCUGGUUGACUCUGCUCCAUCCCACUGUUGGUGCCUCCCGGAUACCGGGACAUAGUGAGUGAACAAGUGAACAUAUGCGUGAGCAAACAAUCAAAGAUAUUCUAUUUCUCAAUCUAAGUCCUCAAAAAUCCAGUACUUAUUUUUUCCUUACAGCAUAUGUCAAACUGGACGAGCCUCAUUUCAAGAGCUCGCAGCCACACAUGGUUACCAUACAGAAGAGCACAAGACUGGGCUCCACUAGGGUCUUACCAGCGUUCUGGUUUGCUGGUAAAGUAGGAGAAAAAUUAAGCUCUGCUACAGCAGAAGGCAGGGCUUUCCAGAUGGCUCAGUGAUAAAGAAUCUGCCUGCCAAAGCAGGAGACAUGGGUUCAAUCCCUGGGUCAGAAAUAUUCCCUGAAGAAGGAAAUGCAACCCACUCCAGAAUUCUUGCCUGAAAAAUCCCAUGGACGGAGGACCCUGGUGGGCUAUAGUCCAUGGGGUCUCAAAAGAAUCGGACACAACAUAAUAACCAACCAACCACAGUGGAAGACAACACAGCCCUUACACUUCUGCUCGUUAGACAGCCGGGUCGAAACCUGACUCUGCCACUCACUACUUGCCCAACCUGGGUCCCUUUGCUCUUAGGGUGCCAAGUCCAGAGGCCUCGCACUUGGCCCUUCGGCCUGGAGUUCCCGUUUAUAACAGGACUGUGCCAACAUCUCAGCUCCAGGGCUGUGUGCAGAAAAGCUGCCCGGGACAUUCAGUUCAAGAUGGCAGUGGAGAGCCGUGUGCAGAGGCAAUGCUCUCGGCUCCGCAAUCUAGAGCCCGAGCAGCACAGCUGCGCCUGAUACCACACUCCCUCCACCCACUCUGUGCUGGCGAGAUCCCUAUAAAGCAGCCCCCACUACAGUCUCUCUGGGAGAGCGUGAGCUUUAGAGGCCACACUCACACCUCUUCAUUCUUUGAUCAAAGACUAAAACCUUGAGCAGAAGAACUCAGUCUUGUUCUGUUGGCUUGAGCAACACUGAGCAGAAGGACCUUUGUUAGGGACCCACUUGGGUCAGUAACAUAUUCCUUCAUGUAUCAUAGCAAAUGAGACUGAUUGUGGAUGCACAAAUUGUACAGGCUAGUAAAAAAUUUAAAUCUGCAUAGAAAAUUUAGACUCUGCCAUGACACACAUUAUCAUUGGUGAGAACAGGAAGUGCUCAUUUAAAGAAAAACCUUGAGCAACUUUCUACAGGUUGUUUUAAUGUAGUUCUCACAUCUGCUAAAUUUAAAUUAAAAAAAUUAAAUCUCAUCCUACAAGACAGACAGGUUGUGUCCUUUGCAAGCCACCAAAG